rnacentral:rRNA from 1 species
AAAUUGAAGAGUUUGAUCAUGGCUCAGAUUGAACGCUGGCGGCAGGCCUAACACAUGCAAGUCGAACGGUAACAGGAAGCAGCUUGCUGCUUCGCUGACGAGUGGCGGACGGGUGAGUAAUGUCUGGGAAACUGCCUGAUGGAGGGGGAUAACUACUGGAAACGGUGGCUAAUACCGCAUAACGUCGCAAGACCAAAGAGGGGGACCUUCGGGCCUCUUGCCAUCAGAUGUGCCCAGAUGGGAUUAGCUUGUUGGUGAGGUAACGGCUCACCAAGGCGACGAUCCCUAGCUGGUCUGAGAGGAUGACCAGCCACACUGGAACUGAGACACGGUCCAGACUCCUACGGGAGGCAGCAGUGGGGAAUAUUGCACAAUGGGCGCAAGCCUGAUGCAGCCAUGCCGCGUGUAUGAAGAAGGCCUUCGGGUUGUAAAGUACUUUCAGCGGGGAGGAAGGUGUUGUGGUUAAUAACCGCAGCAAUUGACGUUACCCGCAGAAGAAGCACCGGCUAACUCCGUGCCAGCAGCCGCGGUAAUACGGAGGGUGGAAGCGUUAAUCGGAAUUACUGGGCGUAAAGCGCACGCAGGCGGUCUGUCAAGUCGGAUGUGAAAUCCCCGGGCUCAACCUGGGAACUGCAUUCGAAACUGGCAGGCUUGAGGCUUGUAGAGGGGGGUAGAAUUCCAGGUGUAGCGGUGAAAUGCGUAGAGAUAUGGAGGAAUACCGGUGGCGAAGGCGGCCCCCUGGACAAAGACUGACGCUCAGGUGCGAAAGCGUGGGGAGCAAACAGGAUUAGAUACCCUGGUAGUCCACGCCGUAAACGAUGUCUACUUGGAGGUUGUGCCCUUGAGGCGUGGCUUCCGGAGCUAACGCGUUAAGUAGACCGCCUGGGGAGUACGGCCGCAAGGUUAAAACUCAAAUGAAUUGACGGGGGCCCGCACAAGCGGUGGAGCAUGUGGUUUAAUUCGAUGCAACGCGAAGAACCUUACCUGGUCUUGACAUCCACAGAACUUUCCAGAGAUGGAUUGUUGCCUUCGGGAACUGUGAGACAGGUGCUGCAUGGCUGUCGUCAGCUCGUGUUGUGAAAUGUUGGGUUAAGUCCCGCAACGAGCGCAACCCUUAUCCUUUGUUGCCAGCGGUCCGGCCGGGAACUCAAAGGAGACUGCCAGUGAUAAACUGGAGGAAGGUGGGGAUGACGUCAAGUCAUCAUGGCCCUUACGACCAGGGCUACACACGUGCUACAAUGGCGCAUACAAAGAGAAGCGACCUCGCGAGAGCAAGCGGACCUCAUAAAGUGCGUCGUAGUCCGGAUUGGAGUCUGCAACUCGACUCCAUGAAGUCGGAAUCGCUAGUAAUCGUGGAUCAGAAUGCCACGGUGAAUACGUUCCCGGGCCUUGUACACACCGCCCGUCACACCAUGGGAGUGGGUUGCAAAAGAAGUAGGUAGCUUAACCUUCGGGAGGGCGCUUACCACUUUGUGAUUCAUGACUGGGGUGAAGUCGUAACAAGGUAACCGUAGGGGAACCUGCGGUUGGAUCACCUCCUUACCUUAAAGAA